GACGAACGCUGGCGGCGUGCUUAACACAUGCAAGUCGAACGAUGAAGCCUAGCUUGCUAGGUGGAUUAGUGGCGAACGGGUGAGUAAUACGUGAGUAACCUACCUUUAACUCUGGGAUAAGCCCGGUAAACUGGGUCUAAUACCGGAUACGACCAAUCUCCGCCUGGGGUGUUGGUGGAAAGCGUUAUGUAGUGGUUAUAGCUGGGCUCACGGCCUAUCAGCUUGUUGGUGAGGUAACGGCUAACCAAGGCCACGACGGCUAGCCGGCCCGGGAGGGUGACCGGCCACACUGGGACUGAGAGACGGACCAGACUGCUACGGGAGGCAGCAGUGGGGAAUAUUGCACAAUGGGCGCAAGCCUGAUGCAGAGACGCCGCGUGAGGGAUGACGGCCUUCGGGUUGUAAACCUCUGUUAGCAGGGAAGAAGAGAGAUUGACGGUACCUGCAGAGAAAGCGCCGGCUAACUACGUG
rnacentral:rRNA from 1 species